rnacentral:rRNA from 1 species
UACGUAGGGGGCGAGCGUUGUCCGGAUUUAUUGGGCGUAAAGAGCGUGUAGGCGGCCAACUAAGUCAGACGUGAAAUCCCUCGGCUUAACCGGGGAACUGCAUCUGAUACUGGAUGGCUUGAGUUCGGGAGAGGGAUGCGGAAUUCCAGGUGUAGCGGUGAAAUGCGUAGAUAUCUGGAGGAACACCGGUGGCGAAGGCGGCAUCCUGGACCGACACUGACGCUGAGGAGCGAAAGCCAGGGGAGCAAACGGG